rnacentral:rRNA from 1 species
UACGUAGGUGGCGAGCGUUGUCCGGAUUACUGGGCGUAAAGCGCGCGCAGGCGGUUCUGUAAGUCCUGGGUGAAAUCGCCCCGGCUCAACUGGGCGGGGGGCCUGGGGGACUGCGGGACUGGAGGGGCCUAGAGGCCGGUGGAACUCCCGGUGUAGUGGUGAAAUGCGUAGAGAUCGGGAAGAACACCAGUGGCGAAGGCGGCCGGCUGGGGGCGCCCUGACGCUGAGGCGCGAGAGCGUGGGGAGCGGAACCGG